UUAAUUUGAUCAUGGCUCAAUUGCNACGCUGGUUAGCUGCCUAACACAUGCAAGUCGAACGGUAACAGGUCCUUCGGGAUGCUGACGAGUGGCGGACGGGUGCGUAACGCGUGGGAAUCUGCCCAAUAGUGGGGGAUAACCCGGGGAAACCCGGGCUAAUACCGCAUACUCCCUACGGGGGAAAGCGGGGGACCGCAAGGCCUCGCGCUAUUGGAUGAGCCCGCGUCCGAUUAGCUUGUUGGUGGGGUAAAAGCCUACCAAGGCGACGAUCGGUAGCUGGUCUGAGAGGACGACCAGCCACACUGGGACUGAGACACGGCCCAGACUCCUACGGGAGGCAGCAGUGGGGAAUAUUGGACAAUGGGGGAAACCCUGAUCCAGCAAUGCCGCGUGUGUGAAGAAGGCCUACGGGUUGUAAAGCACUUUCGGCAGGAAAGAAAAGCCAUGCGCUAAUACCGUAUGACCUUGACGUUACCUGCAAAAGAAGGAACGGGUUACUCCGUGCCAGCAGCCGCGGUAAUACGGAGGGUGCAAGGCGUUAAUCGGAAUUACUGGGCGUAAACGCGCACGUANGCGGACGACUAAGGUCGGAUGUGAAAUUCCUGGGGCUUUAAACCNUGGGGA
rnacentral:rRNA from 1 species